AUAAAAUAAUACAUACAUUUAAGUCUGUUGAUGGAUAAUUUUUUUCAUGUUUAAGUAUUAGCUUUCUUUAGUUACUUGGUGAAAAUGAUGUUUAAAAUAUAUUUGACUAAUGAAUACCCGGUAAAGUUUCUCCUGCUGAACACUUGAUAAUGUUCAUUAAAAGAGUUAGGCUGAGUUACAAAAAGGACAUUCACACCACUCAUGAAAAUAUCAUAAACUGACAACGCCAUGACUAGAAAAAGAAAAAAGACAAACAGACAAACAACAAUACACAAAUUACAACAUAAAACAAUAAUGCUUGGAUUUAUUUUUCAAACCUUUACACCGUGUUACGGAUUGUUAAAAACAUGACUGAUAUUUGCUUACUUUACAUUAUUUCAUACAUGUUUAAGAUUAAGAUUAAGAAUGCAGCACUCGGAUGCAUAUACAGAGUUAAAAAAGGUACCCCAACAACUAGGCAACAUUAGAAGUGAAACAAGUAAAAAGUCUAUAGCAUAAAAUAUUUUGUAUUGGUUAUGUACUGGUUCCAUGAUAUGAUCUACAUGGUUCAUCUGAUAAAGACAUGACUUUCGAAUAUAUAUAUAUAUAUAAAAAGAAGAUGUGGUAUGAUUGUCAAUGAAACAGCUUUCCACAAGAGACCAAAUGACACAGAAAUAAACAACUAUAGGUCACCAAUGUACGUAGGACAUUGUAAGGCUUUCAAAUAUGAUCAAAGCGCAUACCACAUAGACAGCUAUAAAAGGCCCCGAACUGACAAAUGUAAAACAAGUCAAACUUGAAUACCAACGGCCUAAUUAAUGUACCAACCAAAAAAAAAAAUUAAAAAAAUGUAAAACAUCAACAAACGACAACCAAUGAAUCACAG
rnacentral:lncRNA from 1 species